GGUUACUUGUGAAAUGAGAUGUAUACCUCUCUCCCCCCAUUAAAAAUGACUGAAAAUUGAUCAACUUAUUACGAUUUUAGGCGCUAGCGCCAAAAGCGGAACUAAUGUGACUCAGCGUUCUACACGGAGUAAUUACAGCGACGCAUCCAAACACUGCGUUGCCGGGUGCGAAAUGAGAAUGGCAGCAAGAAGUCUUGAACAGAGGCUCUUCUGAUGUCUUGUUGCAAGAGGUGAAGAUAUCAGCAAGUCCGAUGUAGCAGUGCAGCCCAAGUUGAACAUAUUCCCAACCACUUUGAUGGGGGACAGGAGACGGAGCUAUAGGCCAAACUGUGUUUCCCCUAGGAAACUUUUGGCGAGACUUUUGGGAAGUAUUCAGCCUCUUCACCGCGGUCUCAGAACCACCCGCCUGGCUCCAUUUCUUAACCAGGUAAAUGAAGCCUUUUGCUAACAAGUUUAAUUCAUCUUGGUGUUUGUUGACGUUUAGUUGUGUUGGAGUGCGUACGUCCACAUGAAUUUAGUUGAUGGGCUGGUUUCCUGCAACACUAAACGCACAAUAUGGAAUGUGGAUGGUUUGAAUAGAUAACUUCAGUCAUUUAAGUCAUCUUUGUUUUCUGUGACAUCAAGCCAAGUUUUCUCCGUCUAUCUGAAAUCAAAUCUAAAACUUGAGUAAGUUCACAUUCAAGGUGCUUCAGCGCACUAUGCAAACUGGCAACUGUGUGAGAGGAAAUUGUCUGUGUGUGUGUUUGAGAGAGAGAGGGUUUGUGGUGUGAUGUUUGUGGUUGUGUGACAACAACUAAAAGUGUUUUGAGGUUAUUUACUGCAGGCUGGAAACAAUGUGUGUGGUUUGCGAUGUUGAAACUGGACUGGUAGAUCUCAGGAGGUUUGCUUCUUGAAAAGUAGAUCUUCGGUCAAAAAAAGGUUGGGCACCCCUGGUCUACACUGAUGUCAACAUCUGCACUCCGCUGUUGUGUGACUCUUGCUUGCAAAGCAAUAAACAACUUCUAGAGAACAAUAUGUGUGGGAUUUGGUGUUUGACCAGUUCUCAUCUCAUCAUUCUCAUGAAUCCAUUUCAAAGUGCAAAAAGAUGCUCCUUAAAAAUGCAAACUUCCCAUAACUGAAUUUUGACACAAAACAAAUUAAAGAAACACUGAAACCAUGCUUGCCAUGAUAGUUGUCCAACUUCAAACAUUGUAAGGUAUGAAACUCAAUUUAAAAAUCUUGUUUCAGUGAGAUACAGUUGAGUCUGUACCAGAGUGACAAAAGACGUUCUCUCACUGAGAACAGCUUGAAAAGUGCCAUAAGUGAGUUUUGACCAGAAACGAAUAGAAACACAACUGAAAUCAUGUUUGCCAUAAUAUUUAUCAAAUUCAUAGAUUCUAAGGUUGAAAAAUCAUUUUUCAAAGAAAUACAGGUCAGAGUGCCAAAAGACACCUCGCUCACAGCUUGAAAAUCAGCACAAGUUAUUUAUGGCAGAAAAUGAUUUAAACCACAACUGAAACAUUGUCUACCAUGUUAUUUUAUCCAAAUUCAUACAUUCUGAGGUGGUCAAACUUACUAACAAGAAUUAAUUAAACAAAACUUAAAUUCUGUUUGCCAUAAUAUUUAUCCAAAUUUAUACAUUCUAAGGUGGGAAACUUUUUUCAGUGAGAUACAACCUAAUCUAUUUCUUGGUGCAAUAAGAUACUUUUCUCACUAGGAAACACUCAAAAUUCACAUAAUAGUGGGGCGGCUUAACAGCAUAAUUCCAAAGAAUCGUGCACUUUGUGAUAAAAGCGUAAAAUUUGGUACACUUAUAGCCAAACACAGCCCAAAAAAAAUUAGAUAUCGGGCCAUCUAAAAUUUUCAAUAUGGCGGCCGUGGCAGCCAUUUUUCAAAAUGGCCGCCAUUGACUACUAUUUCCAUGUGAAUUUUCUUUUGUGUGUUGAUUAUAAAAUGAUAUUGAUCAUACAGUUAGCUACAUUUAUUUACCUCUUUGGAGUUUGUACAUGAAUGAUACAAAUACAUUUCAAGAUGGCUGUUAUUUUUCAAGAUGGCCAACAUGACUGGUGUGAAAAUCGUUACUGCUCCAAAGUUGCAUGGAUUCCUGUGAUAUGAAUGAUAUUAAGAUCAAAUCACACAUUGUUAUGAUUAGGAUUUCAGGUGGCACCUUUAGUAUUUAGCCUAUUUGGAAGCUCACAAUGCACGAUAGGCCUAACUGACAAUAGUAACUGUCCAAACAUGGGGUCAAUCGUAAGUUCAAGGUCAAAUUGGCAACAGCUAGCCUGUCGAAC
ensembl:lncRNA